rnacentral:rRNA from 1 species
AGAGACAGCAGUAGCCACGGGAAUACGAAGGGUGCAAGCGUUACUCGGAAUUACUGGGCGUAAAGCGUGCGUAGGUGGUGGUUUAAGUCCGUUGUGAAAGCCCUGGGCUCAACCUGGGAAUUGCAGUGGAUACUGGGUCACUAGAGUGUGGUAGAGGAUAGUGGAAUUUCCGGUGUAGCAGUGAAAUGCGUAGAGAUCGGAAGGAACAUCUGUGGCGAAGGCGACUAUCUGGGCCAACACUGACACUGAGGCACGAAAGCGUGGGGAGCAAACAGGAUUAGAUACCCCGGUAGUCCUGUCUCUUAUACA